UACGUAGGUGGCAAGCGUUGUCCGGAUUUACUGGGCGUAAAGAGCGCGCAGGCGGUCGUUCAAGUCGCGUGUGAAAGCCCCCGGCUCAACUGGGGAGGGUCACGCGAUACUGAUCGACUCGAAGGCAGGAGAGGGUAGUGGAAUUCCCGGUGUAGUGGUGAAAUGCGUAGAUAUCUGGAGGAACACCGGUGGCGAAGGCGGCAUCCUGGACCGGUAUUGACGCUGAUGCGCGAAAGCCAGGGGAGCAAACGGG
rnacentral:rRNA from 1 species